CAAGGGCGCCGCGAGCGAGGCCGGCCGCGCCAUGCACCUGAUGAAGAAGCGGGAGAAGCAGCGCGAGCAGAUGGAGCAGAUGAAGCAGCGCAUCGCGGAGAGAACAUCAUGAAAUCCAACAUUGACAAGAAGUUCUCUGCGCACUACGACGCGGUGGAGGCAGAGCUCAAGUCCAGCACCGUGGUCUCGUGACCCUGAAUGACAUGAAGGCCAAGCAGGAGGCUCUGGUGAAGGAGCGGGAGAAGCAGCUGGCCAAGAAGGAGCAGUCCAAGGAGCUGCAGAUAAGCUGGAGAAGCUUCGAGAGAAGGAGCGUAAGAAGGAAGCCAAGCGGAAGAUCUCCAGCCUGUCCUUCACCCUGGAGGAGGAAGAAGAGGGAGGCGAGGAGGAAGAGGAGGCGGCCAUGUAUGAGGAGGAGAUGGAAAGGGAAGGAUCACCACGAAGAAGAGAAAACUGGGGAAGAACCCAGACGUUGACACAAGCUUCUUGCCUGAUCGAGACCGUGAGGUAAAGGCUGCCUGGCCCUGACCCC
rnacentral:lncRNA from 1 species